rnacentral:tRNA from 2 species
AAAAAGAUAAGCUAAUUAAGCUAAUAGGUUCAUACCCUAUUUAUAGAAGUAUAAAUCUUCUUCUUUUUA